UUUUACUUGUCUUUCUCUCCUCUGUGGUUCUCUGAGCAGUCCAUUUACACAUAAUGGUGCAACUCUCUAUCUUUCUCUCCUCUGUGGUUCUCUGAGCAGUCCAUUUACACAUAAUGGUGCAACUCUCUAUCUUUCUCUCCUCUGUGGUUCUCUGGGCAGUCCAUUUACACAUAAUGGUGCAACUCUCUAUCUUUCUCUCCUCUGUGGUUCUCUGGGCAGUCCAUUUACACAUAAUGGUGCAACUCACUCUUUCUCUCCUCCUCCUCUCUCUACCUCCAGUGAUGACCACUCUCAGAAGAAGCCCAUCUACACAGCCAGUGUUGAGUCUUUGGCCUCUACCGGUGGAGACAAACAACCACUGGUGUGACCGCGCCGAGAGAUGGAGAGGAGAAGUAGAGGAACAAAUGGAGAAAGAUGGUAAAGGGGGCAAGGGAGUGAGGAAUAGGAAGGAGGGAAGAUAUCGAGGUGGGAGGAGAGGUGCCUGGGUAAUGGAUGCAGAGUUGCAGUGAGCCAGGAUGCAGAGUAAAAUCGAAGCUAUUAUCAAAGGCUGGCUGCGUCUAAGAGGAGGAAGACAAAUGAUUGUUUUACUGGGGUGGUUUGCUUCCAGCGGGGUUGGCUGAAGUGUUCUUGAACAAAAGGUGUGCAAUUUUCUCUUUAUUGAUCUCGCAACCUGCAAAAUUGACAUUCACUUUCUUAUCUGAGGCAAGGCGAGGGGGAGGAGUCUUUUGUACUGUGUGAACCCUGAGCAGCUGCAGACCGGUUUCAGGAGGUUACCUUGAGAUAAACUGCUCACCACCACCACUUUGCAGCCUUGGGCUCACAAAACGGAAUGCCUCUUACGUUGCAAAUAUAAUGUGAUGCUGUAUCACAAAUGUGCCUUUUCCCCUCAAUGCUUUUACGUGGUGUAGAAUAUUGGUGUGGAUUUUUUUUCUCAAGGAAAUGUAUAACCUUGUGUAGCGUACUAGUGGUGACGCACUUCAAAGUAUACAGACAAGAUGUACACUUGUAGAUUAUUUCUACAAGUAUCAAGUAUAUUUCUAGUAUCUCUAUAUUCCAAUGACAACUGAAGCACUUUCAAACAUUACCCUCAGAGCUGUAUUUCCUGCACGUUUAAUAUUCAUGAUAUAAAGUUCCUUUGAGACAUUCUAAUAGUAAUUCCCCAGUGUCUUUUAUCAUUGAUUUAAAUGUAGGACAUAUCGAGAGUGGGAGGAGUAUUGACAAUGCUGUGAAAGAUGGAUGCUGGUACAAGCUUGAACACAUACAGUAAAUCCAAUGGCCUCUUGACCUCACCCUCUCUAUAACCUCAGUUCCCUCCACUUCCUAUCCAUUCUGCAAGGCCUUCCUCUACUGCUGACCUUUACUGCACCUCACACACGCCAUCUAACCACGGAGAGAGAGCCUGCAUACGAUAUGCCCAGUCAAUAACAGAAGACCGACAGACAACCUUGAGGCAUCUACCCAUUGUUUUAAGUGAGGCUAUGUAUGUGGUUACACAUGGUUCAUUCCCCACUGCAUCCUACAGCACCAUUAAUAACUCUCCCUCUCCCAGCCAGGCUACAACUUCAUUAUUUCAUUUUCUCCUCUGUUGCCUUUCUAACCUUAACGUAUUUGCUUCACCGCUUAUCACUAUAGCGGCUCUUCUCAUAACUAUUUAUUUCAUUACGCCUGGACUGUCUGAUGUUUUACUAUGUGUGCCUGGUUGAAGGUAGGCUGCCGUUAAUAACGGGAAGGAGAUGCUGUGGUUUAAUGAUGACACUCUGUUAAAAGGAACCGUCCACGCGCUACAGAGCACAGCGAGGAUAAUGUUAUUAAACUGAUUAUUCAAGUCUCUGGCCACCGUCUGGCUUGUUUACAGGCCAUUUGUGUGUCCUAGCUGCUAGGUGGAAAGGCUGAGGUCAAAACGGUGGAGCCAAAAGUCCAUAAAACAGUCAUGCUUCAUCAAAAUACCAUUUGGAAAUUUGAAGCGCUCUUCAUUUGAAAUGCCAGUGAACAGCGUUUUAUUUUGGCCUUUGAGGCAUUUAUGGGUCAAAAGCAUCCGCCUUCAUGGAUGUUGCUGGUUCAACAGGAUGGCCAAGGACUACUAGACGACAGUGAGGUCAGUCGCAUGAGGGUUUUCUGCCUUCAUGGAUGUUGCUGGUUCAACAGGAUGGCCAAGGACUACUAGACGACAGUGAGGUCAGUCGCAUGAGGGUUUUCUGCCUUCAUGGAUGUUGCUGGUUCAACAGGAUGGCCAAGGACUACUAGACGACAGUGAGGUCAGUCGCAUGAGGGUUUUCUGCCUUCAUGGAUGUUGCUGGUUCAACAGGAUGGCCAAGGACUACUAGACGACAGUGAGGUCAGUCGCAUGAGGGUUUUCUGCCUUCAUGGAUGUUGCUGGUUCAACAGGAUGGCCAAGGACUACUAGACGACAGUGAGGUCAGUCGCAUGAGGGUUUUCUGCCUUCAUGGAUGUUGCUGGUUCAACAGGAUGGCCAAGGACUACUAGACGACAGUGAGGUCAGUCGCAUGAGGGUUUUCUGCCUUCAUGGAUGUUGCUGGUUCAACAGGAUGGCCAAGGACUACUAGACGACAGUGAGGUCAGUCGCAUGAGGGUUUUCUGCCUUCAUGGAUGUUGCUGGUUCAACAGGAUGGCCAAGGACUACUAGACGACAGUGAGGUCAGUCGCAUGAGGGUUUUCUGCCUUCAUGGAUGUUGCUGGUUCAACAGGAUGGCCAAGGACUACUAGACGACAGUGAGGUCAGUCGCAUGAGGGUUUUCUGCCUUCAUGGAUGUUGCUGGUUCAACAGGAUGGCCAAGGACUACUAGACGACAGUGAGGUCAGUCGCAUGAGGGUUUUCUGCCUUCAUGGAUGUUGCUGGUUCAACAGGAUGGCCAAGGACUACUAGACGACAGUGAGGUCAGUCGCAUGAGGGUUUUCUGCCUUCAUGGAUGUUGCUGGUUCAACAGGAUGGCCAAGGACUACUAGACGACAGUGAGGUCAGUCGCAUGAGGGUUUUCUGCCUUCAUGGAUGUUGCUGGUUCAACAGGAUGGCCAAGGACUACUAGACGACAGUGAGGUCAGUCGCAUGAGGGUUUUCUGCCUUCAUGGAUGUUGCUGGUUCAACAGGAUGGCCAAGGACUACUAGACGACAGUGAGGUCAGUCGCAUGAGGGUUUUCUGCCUUCAUGGAUGUUGCUGGUUCAACAGGAUGGCCAAGGACUACUAGACGACAGUGAGGUCAGUCGCAUGAGGGUUUUCUGCCUUCAUGGAUGUUGCUGGUUCAACAGGAUGGCCAAGGACUACUAGACGACAGUGAGGUCAGUCGCAUGAGGGUUUUCUGCCUUCAUGGAUGUUGCUGGUUCAACAGGAUGGCCAAGGACUACUAGACGACAGUGAGGUCAGUCGCAUGAGGGUUUUCUGCCUUCAUGGAUGUUGCUGGUUCAACAGGAUGGCCAAGGACUACUAGACGACAGUGAGGUCAGUCGCAUGAGGGUUUUCUGCCUUCAUGGAUGUUGCUGGUUCAACAGGAUGGCCAAGGACUACUAGACGACAGUGAGGUCAGUCGCAUGAGGGUUUUCUGCCUUCAUGGAUGUUGCUGGUUCAACAGGAUGGCCAAGGACUACUAGACGACAGUGAGGUCAGUCGCAUGAGGGUUUUCUGCCUUCAUGGAUGUUGCUGGUUCAACAGGAUGGCCAAGGACUACUAGACGACAGUGAGGUCAGUCGCAUGAGGGUUUUCUGCCUUCAUGGAUGUUGCUGGUUCAACAGGAUGGCCAAGGACUACUAGACGACAGUGAGGUCAGUCGCAUGAGGGUUUUCUGCCUUCAUGGAUGUUGCUGGUUCAACAGGAUGGCCAAGGACUACUAGACGACAGUGAGGUCAGUCGCAUGAGGGUUUUCUGCCUUCAUGGAUGUUGCUGGUUCAACAGGAUGGCCAAGGACUACUAGACGACAGUGAGGUCAGUCGCAUGAGGGUUUUCUGCCUUCAUGGAUGUUGCUGGUUCAACAGGAUGGCCAAGGACUACUAGACGACAGUGAGGUCAGUCGCAUGAGGGUUUUCUGCCUUCAUGGAUGUUGCUGGUUCAACAGGAUGGCCAAGGACUACUAGACGACAGUGAGGUCAGUCGCAUGAGGGUUUUCUGCCUUCAUGGAUGUUGCUGGUUCAACAGGAUGGCCAAGGACUACUAGACGACAGUGAGGUCAGUCGCAUGAGGGUUUUCUGCCUCCAUGGUUGUGUUUGGAUAGCUCUGGCCCCUAGGCACUGACCUAGAAUCAGAUUUCCCUUCUAAUGUCACCAGGUAAAGUUGAGGGCUGCCCUUAGACACUGGCAUAUGGUCUGGCUUCUGACCUCAUGUCAGGAGCUAAAGGUCAUAGGAUUGGAGUAGGCUUACAAAAAGAUGACCAGCUACAAUUUUACCUUAGAUAUCAUAUUGGAAUAAUUAUUAGGAAUCAUUAUUAUUAUCCUGCACCAAGUAUUUAUCAUUGCUGAUUUUGUUUCCUAAGAAUAUCCAUUCACAAUAUAGUGAUAAGUAUACCCAUAACCACACACAUUGGUUAUUACAUUAAGUCUAUAGCUGAUGCUACUUGACCUGCAGUCAAUGAUAAACUAUGCUGUGAACUGGAGUGCAACAUGUUUCAGCAAGACAGCAGUAUACCUGUCUACAGAAGCCUGUCUCAGUGGACAUCUCCAGCAUGUAUAGUUCUCUUGAAUAAUAUAGCAACUAGGACCCGCUCAAAGACAUUUUUAGAACACGUGGUCUCUAUUCUGUUGAAUUGCUAUAGACUGGCACAUUCGUGUACGUCACUUGGUUUUGUAUGUUUCCUUGUAUAUAAAAACAUGUAUGGACUGAAAUAAAAUAUAAGUUUUCUCUGGA